rnacentral:rRNA from 1 species
GAUGAACGCUGGCGGCGUGCUUAACACAUGCAAGUCGAACGAUGAAAGCGGGAGCUUGCUCCUGCUGGAUUAGUGGCGAACGGGUGAGUAACACGUGAGCAAUCUGCCCCGAACUCUGGGAUAAGCGUUGGAAACGACGUCUAAUACCGGAUACGACGCGCGAAGGCAUCUUCUGCGCGUGGAAAGAACUUCGGUUCGGGAUGAGCUCGCGGCCUAUCAGCUAGUUGGUGAGGUAACGGCCCACCAAGGCGACGACGGGUAGCCGGCCGGGGGGGGUGACCGGCCACACUGGGACUGAGACACGGCCCAGACUCCUACGGGAGGCAGCAGUGGGGAAUAUUGCACAAUGGGCGCAAGCCUGAUGCAGCAACGCCGCGUGAGGGACGACGGCCUUCGGGUUGUAAACCUCUUUUAGUAGGGAAGAAGCGAAAGUGACGGUACCUGCAGAAAAAGCACCGGCUAACUACGUGCCAGCCGCCGCCGUAACAC